rnacentral:rRNA from 1 species
CGGAGGAUCCAAGCGUUAUCCGGAAUCAUUGGGUUUAAAGGGUCCGUAGGCGGCCCUGUAAGUCAGUGGUGAAAUCUCCCGCUCAACGGGAACGGCCAUUGAUACUGCAGGGCUUGAAUUACUGGGAAGCAACUAGAAUAUGUAGUGUAGCGGUGAAAUGCUUAGAUAUUACAUGGAAUACCAAUUGCGAAGGCAGGUUGCUACCAGUGGAUUGACGCUGAUGGACGAAAGCGUGGUAGCGAACAGGAUU